rnacentral:rRNA from 1 species
UACGUAGGGUGCGAGCGUUGUCCGGAAUUAUUGGGCGUAAAGAGCUCGUAGGCGGUCUGUCGCGUCGGUCGUGAAAACCUGCAGCUUAACUGUGGGCUUGCGGUCGAUACGGGCAUGACUGGAGUUCGGCAGGGGAGACUGGAAUUCCUGGUGUAGCGGUGAAAUGCGCAGAUAUCGGGAGGAACACCGGUGGCGAAGGCGGUUCUCUGGGCCUUACCUGACGCUGAGGAGCGAAAGCGUGGGGAGCGAACAGG